rnacentral:rRNA from 1 species
AUUGAACGCUGGCGGCAUGCUUUACACAUGCAAGUCGAACGGCAGCGCGGGCUUCGGCCUGGCGGCGAGUGGCGAACGGGUGAGUAAUGCAUCGGAACGUGCCCAGUAGUGGGGGAUAGCCCGGCGAAAGCCGGAUUAAUACCGCAUACGACCUGAGGGUGAAAGCGGGGGACCGAAAGGCCUCGCACUAUUGGAGCGGCCGAUGUCGGAUUAGCUAGUUGGUGGGGUAAAGGCUUACCAAGGCGACGAUCCGUAGCUGGUCUGAGAGGACGACCAGCCACACUGGGACUGAGACACGGCCCAGACUCCUACGGGAGGCAGCAGUGGGGAAUUUUGGACAAUGGGGGCAACCCUGAUCCAGCCAUGCCGCGUGAGGGAAGAAGGCCUUCGGGUUGUAAACCGCUUUUGUUCGGGAAGAAAUCCUCUGGGCUAAUACCCCGGGGGGAUGACGGUACCGGAAGAAUAAGCACCGGCUAACUACGUG